rnacentral:rRNA from 1 species
AGAGUUUGAUCAUGGCUCAGGGUGAACGCUGGCGGCGUGCCUUACACAUGCAAGUUGAACGAGAACUCUUUUCAAUUUACUACGGUAGAGAGAAAAGAGAGACAGUAGCGAACGAGUGAGGAACACGUAGUAACCUGCCCACUGGAGGGGGAGAACCACUGGAAACGGUGGCUAAUACCGCAUAAGCCCGAAAGGGGAAAGCAAUUUAUUGUGCCGGUGGAGGGGACUGCGGGCCAUCAGGAAGAUGGUGAGGUAAAAGCUCACCAAACCGACGACGGCUAUCUGACGUGAGAGCGUGAUCAGACACGAGGACACUGAGAAACGGGUCCUACUCCUACGGGAGGCAGCAGUGGGGAAAUAUGCCACAUGGGCGAAAGCCUGAUGCAGCAACGCCGCUGAAAGGAUGAAGGCUUUUGGGUCGUAAACUUCUGUCCCUUGGGGAAGAAAAAAUGAACGGUACCCCUGGAGGAAGUCCCGGCUAACUACGUGCCAGCAGCCGCGGUAAUACGUAGGGGGCGAGCGUUAUCCGGAAUUAUUGGGCGUAAAGAGUACGUAGGUGGUUUUUUAAGCGCAGGGUUUAAGGCGAUGGCUCAACUGUCGUUCGCCCUGUGAACUGGAAGACUUGAGUACAGGAGAGGAAAGCGGAAUUCCUAGUGUAGCGGUGAAAUGCAUAGAUAUUAGGAGGAACACCAGUGGCGAAGGCGGCUUUCUGGACUGUAACUGACACUGAGGUACGAAAGCGUGGGGAGCAAACAGGAUUAGAUACCCUGGUAGUCCACGCUGUAAACGAUGAGCACUAGGUGUCGGGGUCGCAAGAUCUCGGUGCCGCAGUUAACGCAUUAAGUGCUCCGCCUGGGGAGUACGCACGCAAGUGUGAAACUCAAAGGAAUUGACGGGGACCCGCACAAGCAGCGGAGCAUGUGGUUUAAUUCGAAGCAACGCGAAGAACCUUACCAGAACUUGACAUCCUCCUGACAGGCCUUUAAUCGGGCCCUUCUUCGGACAGGAGAGACAGGUGGUGCAUGGUUGCCGUCAGCUCGUGUCGUGAGAUGUUGGGUUAAGUCCCGCAACGAGCGCAACCCUUGUCAUUAGUUGCUAACAUUAAGUUGAGGACUCUAAUGAGACUGCCGGGGACAACUCGGAGGAAGGUGGGGAUGACGUCAAAUCAUCAUGCCCCUUAUGUUCUGGGCUACACACGUGCUACAAUGGCCGGUACAACGAGAAGCGAAGUCGCAAGGCGGAGCAAACCUCAAAAACCGGUCCCAGUUCGGAUUGCAGGCUGAAACCCGCCUGCAUGAAGCCGGAGUUGCUAGUAAUCGCGAAUCAGAAUGUCGCGGUGAAUGCGUUCCCGGGUCUUGUACACACCCCCGUC